AUGGAUACUAGUCGGAUUUGUUUCUGCUGAGCCACAACGGGAACUCCAAAUUACUUAUUUUAUAUUUGCCUUAUUUUCUUCAUUUUUAAGCUUAAUUUUAAGCUUAACUCCCUGCACUUAAUUUUUAUGACAAUUAACCUAAGGGCUCAGAGCAUGAGCUUUGCAAAUUAAGCUUGAGGGAUGGGUGGGGCAAGGGGGAGGGAAUGCCAGCCCAAGGAGAUUGGUUUUGUUUUGUUUGGGCCGCAUCCAUGGCAUGUGGAAAUUUCCAGGCUAGAGUUCGAACCGUAGCCACAGUUGUGACCUGGGCCACAGUUGCAGCAAAGCUAGGUCCUAAACCUGCUGCACCACAAAAGAACUUUCCAAAAGAGGGUUAAUGCUACAAAUUCAAUUUCGCAGACACAACAAAGCAGCCAAAUCUGGGGACUGUCAUGCCUAGUCCAAGAUCUGCCUAUAUCCUUGGGAAAGGCCUUAUGACAAAGUUUUCAUUUGAAAGUGAUAAACAGGAAAAAAAAAAUCUCUUAGAGUCCAGUGUCAGUGUCAAUCCUAUCCUUGUCUCACGACUGUCUACAUUAAUCUUAUAUUUA